rnacentral:rRNA from 1 species
GACGAACGCUGGCGGCGUGCUUAACACAUGCAAGUCGAACGGAAAGGCCCUGGUUUUGUGGGGUGCUCGAGUGGCGAACGGGUGAGUAACACUUGAGUAACCUGCCCUUGACUUUGGGAUAACUUCAGGCAACUGGGGCUCAUACCGGGUAGGAGCUCCUGCUGCAUGGUGGGGGUUGGAUAGUUUAGGCGGUUGGGGAUGGACUCGCGGCUUAUCAGCUUGUUGGUGUGGUAGUGGAUUAGCAAGGCUUUGACGGGUAGCCGGCCUGAGAGGGUGACAGGACACACUGGGACUGAGAUACGGCCCAGACUCCUACGGGAGGCAGCAGUGGGGAAUAGUGUACUAGGGGCGGAAGGCUGACGCAGCAACGCCGCGUGGGGGAUGACGGCAUUCGGUUUGUAAUGCGAAGCCGCCUGUGACGAAGCGUGAGUGACGGUAAUGGGUAAAGAAGCACCGGCUAACUACGUG